GACGAACGCUGGCGGCGUGCUUAACACAUGCAAGUCGAGCGGUAAGGCCCUUUCGGGGGUACACGAGCGGCGAACGGGUGAGUAACACGUGGGUGACCUGCCCUCAGCUCUGGGAUAAGCCCUGGGAAAACCGGGUCUAAUACUGGAUAUGACUCCAUGACGCAUGUUGUGGGGUGGAAAGCCUUGUGCGGCUGAGGAUGGGCCCGCGGCCUAUCAGCUUGGUUGGUGGGGNGAUGGCCUACCAAGGCGACGACGGGUAGCCGGCCUGAGA
rnacentral:rRNA from 1 species